CAUAUACUCCCUCCGUCCGGAAAUACUUGUCGAAGGAAUGAAUGUAUCUAGAUGUAUUUUAUUUCUAGAUACAUCCAUUAUUAUUCAUUUUUGUGACAAGUAAUUUCGGACGGAGGGAGUAUUUG
rnacentral:pre_miRNA from 1 species